UAAAAAGAUUCAAUGCAGAAGAGGCAUGGGUUAUGCAAAAAUAUGCGAGGAAAUAAAAAGGGGCAAGUGCCCGAAACCUCGAAAAAGAAAGAAAAAGAGUGAGACGAGAGGUAAAAAUGGACAAGUGUCCGAAGUAGAAUUAGGGGUACAAAGACGCCCACUUGAGCGGAAAAAAUGGACAAGUGUCCGACAGUAGAAUUAGGGGUAUCUACUACCCACCUGAAAAAAAA
rnacentral:lncRNA from 1 species